CCGUAGAGUCUGAUAGUCGAGUAGCGUCCGAUGUAUCCGAUAGUCGAGUAACGUCCAACGUAUUCAGAUAGGAUAAUGAUGGCAAGUCGAAUAUCCGUUGUCCGGCCCUUGGUCAGACGUGCGCGUCAGGACGUAUGAUAAACGGUGGCAAACCGAAUAUCCUUCGACCGAUCGUGAUCAAGUCGGUAUGUCGCAAGUCGAACUGCGGUUGUCUUGGGGUUUCGCCACUCUAAGUCGAAGCUAAGCCGGCAAGUUAGCCAGCCGCGUUGGUCAAGGC
rnacentral:lncRNA from 1 species